AGGCUGUGGAUGAGCUGCUCGUUGCCGUUCUGGAUCGAGUAGAGGCCGAUGUAGCCGUCCACAUCCAUCACGAAAUUCUUCAGCGCAUUGAGGCCGUUGGUGUUGUGCGGCUCGGUGGCAAUGUCGGAACGCGCCAUCACUUUCAGGAAGCGCUUGGCGACCGGAUCAGCGACUUCACGAUCCAGCAAUUCCUCGGCGCUGAUGUAGGCCCAGGGAUGCUCGUUGUCGUGCGCGCCGACGCCCUCAUAAUAUUCGAUCGGCGACACCAUGCCGGCGCAGAGCUUGCGGAAAUCCUCGAUCGCCUU
rnacentral:misc_RNA from 1 species